CUGACGUCACUUCCGCCCACGCCUCGUUUGCUGCAGGGUGGGCGCUGUAGCGGCUUCACAGUGGGAGCCGGAAUGAUGGCCUCGAGGACAAGCCAGAUUUAAAGCCUGGGAUGUGGGUCUUCGGGGGCGCCCAGGCCCCGUAACUAAGCCCUUCCACACGGUCUCCUGCGGUCCUCCGCCCACGGGGAGCUCACCGGAAACUUCCCAGCCUACCCCUGCCGCGUUCAACCCAGGCUUUCCAGAGCUCCCUGGUUCAGCAACAACAAGGCCGCCUCGCUUCCGCAAUCAUUCGGACCUUUCGAGGUGUUGGCAUUGGUUUUGGCCAGAAGAGGGCACCAGAUCUCAUUACAGAUGGUUGUGAGCCACCUUGAGUUAGCUGGAAAUUGAACUCAGGACCUCUGGGAGGCCAGCUGGAGUCCCUGAGCACUGAGCCAUCUCUGCCCUAUUAGAAGCCUUUUGAGGAACUUUUAGAACUGAAUUCUGCUACUUCUGUUGGUCAAAUUAAAUUCAGACUUCACCUUC